UACGAGGGGGGCGAGCGUUGUUCGGAAUUACUGGGCGUAAAGCGUGCGCAGGCGGUUCGCUAAGACCGAUGUGAAAUCCCCGGGCUUAACCUGGGAACUGCAUUGGUGACUGGCGGGCUAGAGUAUGGCAGAGGGGGGUAGAAUUCCACGUGUAGCAGUGAAAUGCGUAGAGAUGUGGAGGAAUACCGAUGGCGAAGGCAGCCCCCUGGGCCAAUACUGACGCUCAUGCACGAAAGCGUGGGGAGCAAACAGG
rnacentral:rRNA from 1 species